UCUUCUUCUCCCCAGUCGUUCUGCUGCGCUCUUCCGUGGGCUCCCUGGGGUAGGCGCAUGGCAGGUGAGGCUGCUGGGCUGCUGGCUUCUCUUCAGCAGCUGCUCUUGCCAAAGAGUGAAGGAGACUGCUGGGCUGUGUCAGGGCUGGCCCGGUGCUAGUCACUCUGUGAAGCAGCACAGCUGAUAUCAUUCUUCCAGGAACCUGCAAAGGAGAGUCAUCAGACACGUGCCUCAGUGACCUUGGAAACCCUCAGUCUGUAAUCAUGGUGAAAACAAUCAACCUAGCCAUCACUGGAGGAGGCAGAAUGGAGGCCUGUCUGAAGUUUCCUUAAAGACUUCACUCACAAGGCUUCUCUUCAUUAUAUUUGACUCAGAUCUUGUCCAGUACCAGGAGCCUUUUCCCAGAAGUGUUUAUCUAAACUAAGUAAAGACAUAAAAGCAUGGAAAGAAAGGAUGGGGGCAGACAAACACAGAUCCCGUGGUGGAGUGAGGGGCAUGGCGUUCUGAAGAGGAGGCCUUCCUUUCCAUCUGCUUCCGUCAUCUGUAAAACAGGGCCAUGUUGCCUCACCUGCCGCUGCGGUGUUAUGAGGAUUGAAUGAGGCAGUGUGUGCAGGAGGCUUUGUAACGGAAAGCCACAGAUGCAGUUUCUGGAUAUGAUGAUGACAACAGCAGUGUUUCCAUGCGGACAUCUCACACAUGUGGAAAAACACCAGGCAUGCUGGCUGAUAUCUCACGCUCCUCCUCCUAGCCCUCCGAUAUCUCCAGAGGCUCUGCCCACUGCAUCACCCAGGGCUGAGUGAAUUGAGGGACAGCACCUGUGAGGCUCUCAGCCCUGCCGCCCCUGUGCAGCCCAUUCUGUUUGGCAGGCUCCGGGCUGCUGAGUUGUGGGCUCCCCAGAGGGGAACAGCAUAAAUCAGGUGGCUCGGAGCUGGGUGUCAGCAUUGGCCCCGGCUGUGCUCUGCUGGGAACACGGAGGAACGCCCAGAUUCCAGGAAGGGUCACUGUACCGCGUUGCCCUUUCACCUCCGAACAGACCUUCUGUUUCCAGUGUUCCCUCAGUUGUGAAAGAUGCCAGCCUCUCAACCUUGUGGACGUAGCUUUGUCCACUCCCCUACUGGCCCCAGAGCCAGGGCUGGAAAACGGGGCAGCCAUGGCUCUGAAAUGCCUCAGGCUGCUCCCAGUGAACGUGACCUUGUUCCUUAACUAUUUGCAUCUGUAUGUAUCCAAUUUCAUUUUCCCCCCCGAGGCUCAGGCUCAGAUAAGAUCCUCCAGCUUGGACACAUGUAAGUAGACAGAAGGAUACUUGUGAAACUCUAUUUUUAGUGGAAGAGGAACUUGUUCUCCCCGAAAGGCAGCUCCCGACUUCCUGCACUCCCACCCCAUCCUCAGAGCGCUGCAGUGCACGUAGUUCAGCACGAGGUUCUGAGGCAGAACCAUUCACAGAAAGUGCUUACUCAGCUUCUCCACCACGUUCAGGACCUAGAAAGCGGUAGGUCUGCCAACUGCAGUCUCAGGAACAGCACUGGAUUCACUUCUUCAAAAGCCACCUGGUAAUGCAUGACUACAGGGAUUCACAUGUCCUUCGAGGUGAUGUCCUCAAUUAUAAAAUUAUUAACAAAGCCCAUUCUAACUUCUCCAGUCAGAGGAAAGUAAUCAUCAGAAAGGUGCUGGGCCUGGGAGAUUUCAGAGUAAUGGCUGGUGUACACUGAGGUAUCGGGAUUCUCAGUAGCUCUGAGAAGUCCUGCCUCGGAUGAGUGUGUGUGUGUUGGGCCCAGACGCACACAGGCCAGCUUAUAAACAGUGUGCGUGCUCUUUCAGACAAAUCAUGGCAGUCUUAUUGGAAUGCUGAACAGAAAAAGAAAUGGUGUCCUCCCCUCUUGUUCAAUUUUUUUUUCUGUCCAUUUGAAUAAUGAUACUGUGUUGACAAUAAUAGUGUUCAUGUGACUUAACUACAGCAAACCCAUCCAAGCAAAGGUGAAAGAGGCGGCCAAGCGGUGCCCCAAACAUACAAGUGCCGCCAAGUGCACAGCGGCACCUCCACGAGUGCUCCAGGAUGCUUCUGCCUCGGGAAGCUCACAGAGCCCUGGCUGUUGGGGACAGACACCAUGGGGACCUGCACAUAUCCAAAUUACCCGGAAGGCCCUUGCAGAAGUGACUUGAUCAAAGACAUUCCAUUCAAUGUUCAACACUAAAAGAGAAAAUUGACUUUGCGCAGGGUGUAGUUCUCACUAUAACGAAGAGUUGUCACAAAAACAAAGAAAAGUGGAAGUGGAAGUUUCCAGAGAGCAUCCUAAGACCAGCAGAGCCUCUCUGCAGAAGUCUCUGAGGGUGUCCACAGGUAGUGGGGCGGAGCCAGGAGGAGAAGGACCCCAGGGGGCUGGGUAGCACCUGUCAGACUUGCACUGCUCGCAGAGACAGAGCUGUGGCCAUGGGGAGGUGUUGGCGGCUGCUGGCUUAGUGGUAUGUAAAUAACGAACUCUUGGUGGGAGGCCUAUGGGUUUCAGAACAUAUGCUGUAACAGAUGGGAUGUACAUCAGCAGGAUUGGGGGUGCACUCCGGGACCUGCCAAUCACUGGCAUCCCACUUCUGGAAGGGAAGAAGCCUUUGGCAAAGAGGCAUUGUAUCGCCGUUUCACGCACAUUUCAGGGCAGUGACCUUGCCCACAAUGACCUCUCUACCCCCCAGCAGCCCAGAGAGCCCCAGCAAGGCUUCACAUCAGUCUGGAGGUAUUUUACUCUUUAACUAGAUCCGUGGUUCUCAGAGUGGGAUCCUGGACCAACAGCAGCAGUGGCACCUGGAAACUUGUUAGAAAAAAAAAUUCCAGCCCACUCCACAACUGCUGGGUCGGAAACUCCAGAGGGUGGCCCACAGUCCAUGUUGUAACAAACCUCCUGUGGUUCCUAGACAAGCUAAAGUUGGAGAGCCACCGAACUAGCUCGUCAUCUAGUUAGGGACCAGAGUUCUGUUAUUUUUCUCCGUUUACCCUUCUUUUUUAGACCUAGCACAUUAAUGGACACAAAGCAUGAUCCAGAUAGAUAUUUCUGAAGGGAAUAGAGAAAGAAAGGAAGGGGCUCUGAUACAAUUUUGGCUUCUCUCCUUAAGCAUGGCUUCAGAAUGAAAAGCUGAAAUCUGAGAAAGAUUGUACCCCAGUGACGGUUUAUUUUACACACUCCUCAGGUGCAAGAUGCAUUGGAUGGGAUGGGUGUCUGCUCCUGCCAGACCCUUAGAAGAGCAAAUUCCACAGAGGAAUAAAGGACUAAUGGAAGCCAGGUCUUGACUUUGGGAAUACAGAAGCUCCUGGACUAGAGAUGAGAUUGCAUCCCAAUAAACCUCUUGUAAGUUGAAAAUAUCAUAAAUCAUAAAUGCAUUCAAUACACCUAACCUACUGAACCUCAUAGCUUAGUGUAGCUGGACUCUAUUGAAUGAAUGCCUAUCGCUUUUGUACCAUUGUAAUGUAGAACAAUCCUAGUUGAACUAUUUUAAGUCUGGGUCCGUCUGUAUUCCAUUUGAAAUGACAAGAUUCAGCCUGCAGUGUCAUGGAUUUGCCAAUUAAAAAAACCGAACCAAAGUAGCUAUUGAUGAAGCUUUUACAGAGUAUUUGCUCCAGCGUGGAUGAGUGGUGCUUCCAUCAGAAACACUCCAACAUCCAAAGUACAGACUCGGAGAGGCUGCUGCUAAAAGGCUGCACGACACACUUGGUCCAGACCCUACCUCCCCCAGCAAGGCAGGUGUGCAUUCCUGCCACCAAAGCUGAGAGUGGAACAAGAAUGGGCUUUUAUCAGGCAAAGGAUUUCUUCAAGUCACUUAUGCUGACUGAGUUUUUAAUUUCUUCAUCAGCAAAAUAAAGCUAUUAAUAUUUUCCUCAAAUACUCUUUGUGGGUGUUA